rnacentral:rRNA from 1 species
GACGAACGCUGGCGGCGUGCUUAACACAUGCAAGUCGAACGGAAAGGCCCUGCUUUUGUGGGGUGCUCGAGUGGCGAACGGGUGAGUAACACGUGAGUAACCUGCCCUUGACUUUGGGAUAACUUCAGGAAACUGGGGCUAAUACCGGAUAGGAGCUCCUGCUGCAUGGUGGGGGUUGGUAAGUUUCGGCGGUUGGGGAUGGACUCGCGGCUUAUCAGCUUGUUGGUGGGGUAGUGGCUUACCAAGGCUUUGACGGGUAGCCGGCCUGAGAGGGUGACCGGCCACAUUGGGACUGAGAUACGGACCAGAAUCCUACGGGAGGCAGCAGUGGGGAAUAUUGCACAAUGGGGGGAAGCCUGAUGCAGCAACGCCGCGUGCGGGAUGACGGCUUUCGGGUUGUAAACCGCUUUCGCCUGUGACGAAGCGUGAGUGACGGUAAUGGGUAAAGAAGCACCGGCUAACUACGUG